rnacentral:rRNA from 1 species
AUUGAACGCUGGCGGCAGGCCUAACACAUGCAAGUCGAGCGAGCGGCGGACGGGGGAGUAAUGUCUGGGAAACUGCCUGAGGGAGGGGGAUAACUACGGGAAACGGUAGCUAAUACCGCAUACCAUCAGAUGUGCCCAGAUGGGAUUAGCUAGUGGGUGGGGUAAUGGCUCACCUAGGCGACGAUCCCUAGCUGGUCUGAGAGGAUGACCAGCCAAACUGGAACUCAGACACGGUCCAGACUCCUACGUGAGGCAGCAGUGGGGAAUAUUGCACAAUGGGCGCAAGCCUGAUGCAGCCAUGCCGCGUGUAUGAAGAAGGCCUUCGGGUUGUAAAGUACUUUCAGCGUGGAGGCGUUACCCGCAGAAGAAGCACCGGCUAACUCCGUGCCAGCCGCCGCGGUAAUAC